CGUACACUCCUGCGGGAGGCAGCAGUGGGGAAUAUUGCACAAUGGGCGCAAGCCUGAUGCAGCCAUGCCGCGUGUAUGAAGAAGGCCUUCGGGUUGUAAAGUACUUUCAGCGGGGAGGAAGGCGAUAAGGUUAAUAACCUUGUUGAUUGACGUUACCCGCAGAAGAAGCACCGGCUAACUCCGUGCCAGCAGCCGCGGUAAUACGGAGGGUGCAAGCGUUAAUCGGAAUUACUGGGCGUAAAGCGCACGCAGGCGGUCUGUCAAGUCGGAUGUGAAAUCCCCGGGCUCAACCUGGGAACUGCAUUCGAAACUGGCAGGCUAGAGUCUUGUAGAGGGGGGUAGAAUUCCAGGUGUAGCGGUGAAAUGCGUAGAGAUCUGGAGGAAUACCGGUGGCGAAGGCGGCCCCCUGGACAAAGACUGACGCUCAGGUGCGAAAGCGUGGGGAGCAAACAGGAUUAGAUACCCGUGUAGUCCCAUG
rnacentral:rRNA from 1 species